CAAAGACUUGGCUAUAGAGUACUAAUUGUGAUGCAAGCAAGUUCUUUUGCCAAUGGCAACCAGCAGAGCUUCCCCUGAAGAUUGGAGGGGAUGAGUCAGGGGCAAGGAAGGAUUAACAGAUUCUGCCUCAAGUCCUGGUGAACCAACUCCUCUCCCCAAGACAGACACAUACUAGUGAAAUAAAUUGGAUUUAAAUCAUCACCUGAGGCAAUCCUGAAAGAGAAAAGCAGUCCUAGAAAAGAGUGGAGGAAAAGAGGACAGCCCCAUUCUCUUUGUGACCACGAAGACUGCCGCCAUGUGGUUGGGAGCCACGUAACUUCUUUUAGUGCCAGCUGAGAUUCUUCUGCCCUGGAACUAGUUCCUCCGAGUUAUUGCCAGGCCUGGAGAUUGAAUUCCUGCAGCUGGAAGGUGGGGAAAGCAAAAUGUUGUGAGCACCUACCAUAUGCCAGGCACUGUUCAGUGAACUGGUUGUACAGGAGUGAAUGAGAUCAUCUUGAUUUUGAGAAGUUUAUAAUCUACUCAAGGGAAACACGUGUAAUCAACUAUGUUUCAGACAUAACCCCUCAAAACCAAAGCAGAACCUCUUCAAGGAGCUGAGAGAUGCAAGCCUGACCAAACACUGCUCCAAAGCUGGAUGAGAUGUUUUUCCUCUUACCGUCCCCAAGCCUGGCCAAGUACAGGCACCUGGAGGCAACUCAGCAAGGACCUAUUGGGUGAACAGCAAAUAAAUAAAGUAUCUCCUUGAUUAGCAUUAGGCAAGAAUUAUUCAUUAUCAUGCAAUAUGAGUCAUUCAACUGGGGCAAGGAAAGAUGCUGGAAAGGGAAAGUAGUAUUUUUUUAGGGUCUAUUGUGUUAUUCAUGUAAAAUAGCUUGCAUGGUACCUUUUGCAUGCCUGGAACUCUUUACAUGGUGGCUGUUUUUAUGUUCUUAUUAAUUUUUGCUAACUUCAGGAGGUGGAUAUCAUAUCACCUUUUUGACAAGUAAGGAAACUAGGGCUCAGAGAAAGGAUGUAUCCUUUAGGGCCACUUAACCAGGGAGCAUCAGAGACAGAAUUCAACCCCAAGGUCACAUAAUUUCCCCAAUCCUAUUGUUCAUCUGUGGUCUCCUGGAGGGACCAUGCAGAGCACAUGGCAGAUGUGUAUGUGGAUACGUGA
rnacentral:lncRNA from 1 species